CGGGUGAGUAACACGUGGAUAACCUACCUAUAAGACUGGGAUAACUUCGGGAAACCGGAGCUAAUACCGGAUAAUAUUUUGAACCGCAUGGUUCAAAAGUAAAAGACGGUCUUGCUGUCACUUAUAGAUGGAUCCGCGCUGCAUUAGCUAGUUGGUAAGGUAACGGCUUACCAAGGCAACGAUGCAUAGCUGACCUGAGAGGGUGAUCGGCCACACUGGAACUGAGACACGGUCCAG
rnacentral:rRNA from 1 species